rnacentral:rRNA from 1 species
CCCUUAGAUGUUCUGGGCCGCACGCGCGCUACAAUGAUGAAUUCAACGAGUUUAUAACCUUGGUUGAAAAGCCUGGGUAAUCUUUUGAACUUUCGUCGUGAUGGGGCUAGACCCUUGCAAUUAUUGGUCUCCAACGAGGAAUUCCCAGUAAACGCAAGUCAUCAGCUUGCAUUGAUUACGUCCCUGCCCUUUGUACACACCGCCCGUCGCACCUACCGAUUGAAUGGUCCGGUGAAAUCUUCGGAUUGAGACUUUGAUUUCUUCACGGAAAACGCUGUUUUAAAAAGUUGAUUAAACCUUACCAUUUAGAGGAAGGUGAAGUCGUAACA